UGGUGCCCAAAUAGAAAAUUUUCUCGAAAAGUUUCCCUCCUUUUUGUGUAAACAAACUGGCAGCAGCAAGUGGGGGUAAAAUUUUGGUCCCCACUUUCUCUCUCAUUAAUCUUUAGUCACUUCAUCUUAUUUUUGUUAAUGUAAUUUUAUCGAGCGAUUUUCAUAGAUAAUGCUAAAAAAAAAAAUAAUUCCGAAUAUAUGUCAGUUUUAAAACUAUUUCCUGUGAUACCGAACACAUAGGCUUAGUGAAGGUUUGUAAAAAAAGAACCGCUAAUGUUAUUAGCAGUUUAUCUUAAAAUGCUCACUAACUUGUGGGAAAUUUAAAAAUAUUAAGCCUUCAUCUUCCACCAAAGCCAAAUACAAAAAGGCAUGACACCACUCCACUCCUUCAUAUCUUUAGUUAUAAAAUUGCAACUCCAUACUCUAAAGCUACCUACUACUCCAAAUUGCCGUCGAAACCACCUACCACCUGUUAUUUCCGCCGCCGCCGUCGACCGAGCAUCUAUGUGCAGGAACUCAAUUCACCCAUCUUUCUCCUGAUUGAAAGGUGAUUAUGACUCGACUCAACCCGAGAUUGAUGUGCAAGUCAUUGAUGAUGUUGGGGUAGAUACUGAUGAUGGUGAAGAUGACGAGGUAAGAGAGGCUAACAAAGUUGCUAUCAAAGCAAGUGCACCUUCACAUGAAUUCAACAAUGUUCCUGAGUUUGACUAAAAGUUAAUUGAUUCUUGGAGAACAUGGUCAGGGAACAACACAUAUGCUGGUAAUGCAAUGACGACAAUGGCGCAAGGACUUGAUACAAACCCACCUCUCAUUUUCCCCUUUUCGAAAUGAUUUUUCCUGAAGAACUUACUCCUCCUUCAAUGGUGGACAAUCGAGGAGGUCCUCGCCUCUCUCCAGCUACUUCAAUGGCGUCGUCAUCGAAUUUUUCUUUACAAACUCAAGCUCUAUUGCCUCAUCAUUUUACUCGGUAGAGUGAUCAAAUUGGAUGACAUGGCAAAAGAGAUUGUCAAAAUGGUGGAAGACAGCCUCGGAAUUGAGAUCAAAGUUGCAGCAACUCGGAAAAGAGUUGGAAGAUGUAAAUUAUUUAACACUAAUUUAGAGAAAAAUCAUUUAAUUCUUAUUAGUCUUAAGUAAACUUGUUUAUUUUUGUUAUAAUUGAGAUUUAUUUUAGCUCUUCUAAUAAGUUUUAGGUAUUAGUUAAUUGUAUAUUAAUUGUAUUCUAUAUUUGUAUAAAAAAUAAAUCUCUCAAUAAUUGACAAAAUGGUGUGCAAGGCUGAAAGCAAGCUG